rnacentral:sRNA from 1 species
UCUACAAGAUUAUCGCGGAGGAAUUCGA